rnacentral:rRNA from 1 species
UUGACCCUAUGGGAGGCAGCAGUGGGGAAUAUUGCGCAAUGGGCGAAAGCCUGACGCAGCGACGCCGCGUGAGGGAUGAAGGUCUUCGGAUCGUAAACCUCUGUCAGCAGGGAAGAACGGUCACUGUGCUAAUCAGCAGUGAAUUGACGGUACCUGCAAGGGAAGCACCGGCUAACUCCGUGCCAGCAGCCGCGGUAAUACGGCGGGUGCGAGCGUUAAUCGGAAUUACUGGGCGUAAAGCGCUCGUAGGCGGUAUGUCACGUCAAGGGUGACAUCCCCGCGCUCAACGUGGGAACUGCCUUCGA